rnacentral:rRNA from 1 species
UACGUAGGGACCGAGCGUUGUCCGGAAUCAUUGGGCGUAAAGAGCGUGUAGGCGGCCUUUUAAGUCCUGCGUGAAAUCCUGCGGCUCAACCGCAGACGGUCGUGGGAAACUGGAAGGCUAGAGUGCGGGAGAGGAGAGUGGAAUUCCCGGUGUAGCGGUGAAAUGCGCAGAUAUCGGGAAGAACACCCGUGGCGAAGGCGAGUCUCUGGGCUGAUACUGACGCUGAUGCUCGAAAGCUAGGGGAGCAAACGGG